rnacentral:rRNA from 1 species
GAUGAACGCUGGCGGCGUGCCUAAUACAUGCAAGUCGAGCGAACAGACGAGGAGCUUGCUCCUCUGACGUUAGCGGCGGACGGGUGAGUAACACGUGGAUAACCUACCUAUAAGACUGGGAUAACUUCGGGAAACCGGAGCUAAUACCGGAUAAUAUAUUGAACCGCAUGGUUCAAUAGUGAAAGACGGUUUUGCUGUCACUUAUAGAUAGAUCCGCGCCGCAUUAGCUAGUUGGUAAGGUAACGGCUUACCAAGGCAACGAUGCGUAGCCGACCUGAGAGGGUGAUCGGCCACACUGGAACUGAGACACGGUCCAGACUCCUACGGGAGGCAGCAGUAGGGAAUCUUCCGCAAUGGGCGAAAGCCUGACGGAGCAACGCCGCGUGAGUGAUGAAGGUCUUCGGAUCGUAAAACUCUGUUAUUAGGGAAGAACAAAUGUGUAAGUAACUAUGCACGUCUUGACGGUACCGAAUCAGAAAGCCACGGCUACUACGUG